CGCGGCAAGACGGAAAGACCCCGUGAACCUUUACUAUAGCUUGACACUGAACAUUGAGCCUUGAUGUGUAGGAUAGGUGGGAGGCUUUGAAGUGUGGACGCCAGUCUGCAUGGAGCCGACCUUGAAAUACCACCCUUUAAUGUUUGAUGUUCUAACGUGGGCCCCUUACCGGGGUUGCGGACAGUGUCUGGUGGGUAGUUUGACUGGGGCGGUCUCCUCCUAAAGAGUAACGGAGGAGCACGAAGGUUGGCUAAUCCUGGUCGGACAUCAGGAGGUUAGUGCAAUGGCAUAAGCCAGCUUGACUGCGAGCGUGACGGCGCGAGCAGGUGCGAAAGCAGGUCAUAGUGAUCCGGUGGUUCUGAAUGGAAGGGCCAUCGCUCAACGGAUAAAAGGUACUCCGGGGAUAACAGGCUGAUACCGCCCAAGAGUUCAUAUCGACGGCGGUGUUUGGCACCUCGAUGUCGGCUCAUCACAUCCUGGGGCUGAAGUAGGUCCCAAGGGUAUGGCUGUUCGCCAUUUAAAGUGGUACGCGAGCUGGGUUUAGAACGUCGUGAGACAGUUCGGUCCCUAUCUGCCGUGGGCGCUGGAGAACUGAGGGGGGCUGCUCCUAGUACGAGAGGACCGGAGUGGACGCAUCACUGGUGUUCGGGUUGUCAUGCCAAUGGCACUGCCCGGUAGCUAAAUGCGGAAGAGAUAAGUGCUGAAAGCAUCUAAGCACGAAACUUGCCCCGAGAUGAGUUCUCCCUGACUCCUUGAGAGUCCUGAAGGAACGUUGAAGACGACGACGUUGAUAGGCCGGGUGUGUAAGCGCAGCGAUGCGUUGAGCUAACCGGUACUAAUGAACCGUGAGGCUUAACCUUACAACGCCGAAG
rnacentral:rRNA from 2 species